UACGAAGGGGGUUAGCGUUGUUCGGAAUCACUGGGCGUAAAGCGCGCGUAGGCGGAUUGUUAAGUCGGGGGUGAAAUCCCGAGGCUCAACCUCGGAACUGCCUUCGAUACUGGCGAUCUUGAGUCCGGGAGAGGUGAGUGGAACUCCUAGUGUAGAGGUGAAAUUCGUAGAUAUUAGGAAGAACACCAGUGGCGAAGGCGGCUCACUGGCCCGGUACUGACGCUGAUGUGCGAAAGCGUGGGGAGCAAACAGG
rnacentral:rRNA from 1 species